UCACACUCACCUAUAACUCAUAACAUGCAUAAGAUCUACAUAUACAUACAAGUAACAAUAUGAAUACAUAAUUAUAUGUCAUACACAAUAUUACGUAGGUUUCCAAUCAUAUGCAAUUUCACACAUGCAAAUAUAAUAAGUUUGCAGAACUCUUGGUGAAAAACAUGAACAGUUGGUAAAUUCUGUAAACAAGUCAUUUCAACAAAAAACAAGAUUUUAUAAAAACAUGGGGGCUUCUGAAUGAGACUAACUCAAUCCCUUACAUAUAGUUGAACUGAAAAGUAUCGGAAUCAUUAUUGGCUUUGGUCUACGCUCUCCUCUAAAUUCGAUAUUGUUUAGAUACUUCUCUUAUUUACAAACAGAAAAUAUGUGGGUUAAUGAUGGAUACUUAUAAAAAUAAUUAGAAUAUAAAAAGGGGGAUUGAGCUUUACCGUAGUACGACCCCGUCACAAGAAUCGCCACACAUCACCAUACACGUGUCCUUAGUUCACCAUGCGCCAUCAUCGAGUGUCAUAGUCGCCACAUUCGCCGCCGCCAGAACAAACACGUGCCACUUAGACAAACCCACACACCGCCCUUGAUUCAACCGGAACCCAUCAUAAAACGAGCCGCACAUACAAAUCCGGCCCGAAUAUGGCGGAAUCACGCCGAAGAAGAGUGCGGGUGCGUGAAACCGUGCCUAGUCAUUGUUGCGAUUCCCUUCCUCUCUGAGCACACCGUCAUGUGUUCUCCUUUUUUGGCACACUGGUUUUGGGCCUCUUGACUGCUCGCACGCCAGACGCACCAAACCUACCUCGUCACUCGUUUGGUCUAUUCCCUCUCUCUCUCUCUUCAUGACCCUCUUUCUCUCUCUAUGUGUGGAUCUCUCUCUCUCUCUCUCCUCACGCACGGGAUCUCCUUCCCACAAAACGAGUUAAAGCCCUUUUGUGGGUGGAGAAGGGAAGCCCUGCACGCCUCUUCUUCCUUCUUCUUCAGCUUGCAAGUCCAGGCUUAUUCUUCAUCUUUUUCGGCGGGUAGGGGCGUACACG
rnacentral:lncRNA from 1 species